rnacentral:lncRNA from 1 species
AUGGGUGGGGGGGGGGGCAACCAUUAUGGAGGGGGGGCGCCUACCCCCUUGAGCCCCCCCCCCGCCGAUAACUCCUCAACCGCGGGGGCCGGAACAACGUGGGCGCGCCCCCCCCACCGCCGCGGGGCCGGCUUUUGGCGGGGACGCCGUCAUGGCCGCCGCCGCCUCCUCCUUGCGCUUCUGCUCCACGUCGCGGAUGAUGUCGACCACGUCGUCGGCCGGCAGGUGGAGGCGGCUGGAGAGCUCGAUCAGUUGGUCGAUGGUGCCCGGGUCCAACGGCGCGUCCGGCGCCGCCUCCUCAUCCUCAUCAUCCUCAUCUUCGUCUUCACCCCCCGGCCGCACCGCCUCCGCCAGCUCCUGGGCCAGCGGGGGGACGGCGGCGCGGUUGGGGGCAUCUUCGCGGUUGGGCGCGUUGGCGCGGUUGAAGACGUCGCCGCGGUUGGGGAUGUCGUCACGCAUGGAGAUGACGUCGCCGCGCACGGAGAUCUCGUUGGCCAUGGGGAUCUCAUUGGUCAUGGGGAUCUCAUUGGUCAUGGGGAUCUCGUUGUUCAUGGGGACCUCGUUGGCCAUGGGGACCUCGCCCAUCGGGAUCUUCUUGCCCAUGGAGAACCCUUUACCCAUCGGCGUCAUCUUCCCCACGGGGACCGCCUUGCCCAUCGGCAUCGCCUUGCCCACGGCGCUCGCCCUCCCCACUCCCCUCCCCGCUUCUCCCCCGACCUCUCCCACCUCCCCCCUUUCUUCUUCCUCCUCCUCCUCCUCCUCCUCCUCCUCCUCCUCCGACCUCUUGUCCUGGGCGGCCGCGGCGGGCCCGUGGAGGAGGUAGCGCAGCAGGAGGUCGGAGGCCAGGUCGGCCAAGCGCUCCUCCUCGGCGGCGGGCCAGCUCCUGGUAGCGCCGCUCCAGCAGCCGCUGCUCCAGGCUCUGCUGCUGCCGCAGCUGCCGGGCGCUGGCCCAGCUUCGGCCUCCUCCUCCUCCUCCUCCUCGCUCCCGGUCCCGCUUGGCCUCCGCUCGCAGCCUCCCCAGCUCCUCCAGCUCCUUCAGGACUUCGUCCGGCGGCGAGGAAGAGGAGGAGGAAGAGGAGGAGGAGGAGGAAGGGAUUUGGGGAGGGGGGAAAAAGGGGCCGGGGAGGCGAGGGGAGGGGUGGGGGCGGCUUUGGGCCAGGAGGGUGAUGGAGAGGAGGAGGGCGGCGCUGCGCAACGGGCGGGCGGGGGGGGGCAUGGUGCCUGGGGGGGCAAAAAAAUAGAGGGGGGGGUGUCAGGGGGCACGGGACCCCCUCCCCGCUCCCUUAAUUCCCCUCCCCUCUCCCUUAAUUCCUCCUCCCCCCCUUCAUCCCCCUCCUCUCUCCCUGUGCUGGGGCCAGGGGUCACAGGACACCCCCCCCAUGUGUUAUGGACCCCCCCAUGUGUUAGGGACCCCUCCCCCAAAAUGGGUUUUCCAAAGUGUCCCCCAUGUCCCCAAAGUGCCCCCCCACAAAACUCCCCCCCAACCCCCCCCAAUGGAUCCCCAAGUACCAGGAGCCCCCCCCCCCCAUUGGGGUACCCCAAGUGUCCCCAAGGUGUUUCCCCCCCCCAGCUGCCUCCCUCAAAUUGCCCCCUCCGAAUUCCCCCCCCCCAAAGGUACCCAGCAGGGUCCCCGCGCUCCCCCCGCACAUGCUGGCACCCAUGGGUGCCCCCCCACCCCCUGUGCCAGGACCCUCCCCCGCGUCUCACACGCAGCACACGCAGCACACACAAUGCUCAGCAUGUACAACAUGCUACACGUACAGCAGCACAUGCAAUGUACAUACAAUGUACAUGCGUUCUACAUACAACGCACAUGCAAUGCACACAGCACAUGCAAUGUACAUACAAUGCAUGCAGCACGUGCAAUCACAUGCAAUGUACAUGCAAUGCACGCACGAUGCACGCAGCACAUACAAUGCAGCACUCACAACAUGCAAGCACAUACAACAUGUAAAGGACAUGCAUGUACAGCACAUACAUGGACACGCAUGGCACAUACGUGGACACAGCACAUACAUGGACACACACAGCACAUAUAUGGACACACACAGCACAUACAUGGACACACACAGCACAUACGUGACUACAGCACACCACUUAUAACGCACAGCACACACAUGCAAUGCACACACGAUGCGCAGCACAUGCUUACACACACACAGGACAUACAUGUACAUACACUGCGCAUCCAUAAACACACCCAGCACAUACAUGGACGUGCUCUUCAUGCAUGUACACUCAAGGCACAUCCAUGUACAUGCAAUAUCCAUGCAUACAAACACAUGUACACACACAGCACAUACAUGUACACACACUACAUGCAUGUACGCACCCAGCACAUCCAUUUACACACCCAGCACAUACAUGUACACGCACUACACAUACAUGUACAUGCAUAUACACACACAGCACAUGCAUUUCCAUGCACUGCAUGCCUCUACAUGCACUGCACAUACAUGUAACUGCAAUGUACACACAUAGACAUGAAUGUACAUGCAUGUACACGCACAGCACACACAUGUACACUCGCAGCACAUACAUGUACAUGCAGAACAUGCAUAUACACGCACCACACACACCUGUAACUGCACUGCACAUACAUGUACAUGCGCUGCACAUACAUGCACAUGCAAUACAUGCAUCUACAUGCACCGCACACGCAUGUACAGCCGAUACAUGCAUCCACACGCAUCCACACACAUCACACCCACGCACACGUCACACGCAGCCCACGCGUGCCGCAGGGCCGGGACACGCCGCCCACCCCCGGUUAGGGCUGGCGGGGGGGGGGACACCCGCAGCCGCCCCCUCCCCGUUUUAACCCCAUGGGGGGGGGGAUUUACCGGUUCCCGGGGGGGUCGCUACGGUCCCGGGGCGCCCCCCGUUCCCUCCCCGGGCCGGGGGCGGCGGCUCCCGGGGGUUCCCGGGGGUGGGUCCCGGGGGUCGAUCCCGGUGCCCGGUCUCAGGGGCGGAUCCCGGUCCCUGUUGAGGAUCCCGGUGCCGGUGGAGGGUCCCGGUCCCGGUGCCCGGUGCCCAGGGGCGGAUCCAGGUCCGGUCCCGGUGCCCGGUGGCAGAUCCCGGUGCCGGUGCCCAGUAGUGGAUGCCGGUCCCGGUGCCCGGUUGCGGAUCUCGGUCCCGGUUGCAGAGCCCGGUCCCGGUGCCCGGUGCCCGGUCCCGGUUCCCAGUCGCGGAUCCCGGUGCCGGUCCCGGUGCCUGCUCCCGGUGCCGGUCCCGGUGUCGGAUCCCGGUGCCCGGUCCCGGUCCCGGUCCCGGUCCCGGUCCCGGUGCCGGCUCCUCCCGUUCAGGACCGCGGACAGCGGCGCCGCCGCCUUUAUACCCGCGCCCGGCCCCACGUGACCUCCAUUGACGUCAGAGCCCAUUCAUAAAAUCCGGCCGGGGCUGGGAAGGGGGGGGCGCGCGGUGCGCAUGCGCAGCUCCCCCCUCCCCCCUCCCCCCCGGGAACGGCGGCGGCAUGAAUGGGCGCGGGAUGAAUGGGGCGGGGGGGGCGGGAGAGGGAGGGGGAGGAACGGAGGGACCUACACACGGCCCUAUACACACGGCCCUAUAUAAACAGCCCUGCGCACGGCCCUAUAUGUACCCGGCCCUAUAUAAACAGCCCUACAGACGGCCCUAUAUACACACGGCCCUAUAUAAAUAGCCCUACCCACGGCCCUAUAUACACACGGCCCUAUAUAUACACCCCCGCACACGGCCCUAUAUGUACACACCCCUAUACACGGCCCUACACACAGACCCUUAUAUACGGCCCUAUAUGCAUAUCCCUAUACACACACCCCCCUACACGCACCCCUGUACACACGGCCCCAUACGCACCCCUAUACACAUACACACGGCCCUAUAUGGACCCCUGUACACACAGCCCUAUAUACACACUGCCCCUAUACACACCUCUGCACGCACACUGCCCUAUACAAACACCCUAUAUACCCCCCCCCAUACACACACACACGCCCCUAUACACACCCAGUCCCCUAUACAAACACCAUAUACACCCACCCCUAUACGCCCCCACACCCCUAUACAUACACCUACGCUCCUAUAGAUGCGCAUACCCCUAUAGAC